CGGUAGGAGUGAAUUUAUUAUUCCAUGUACAUUUGAGGUUAAUGUGUGUACUGGGCUACUUUUUAGUUACAGCAGCUAUCACUGUGUUGUUAUGAAGUCAGUUGUGCCAGACAAUUUUGGAGGCAGAGACAGGUUGUGGGGGGCACUAAUAGGGAAAAACUUAAACUGUUGGAAUAAAGAGUUUUAAAGGGUUAGUGAUGGAAAACUUGCAGGUCAAUGGGCAUCAAUGUUUAAGGUUGGUAAACACUUGUACACGGACGCAUAUAAUACUACCCGCCUGACAUUGGCAUGUGUUAUUCAGGUGUCAAAGUUGUGCAGAGUUGAAGGAAGAAACCUCAAAGACAGUGCCAGAAGGAUGCUGGACAGGGUUUUAAAAAAAUUCCCUCAUGUCCAAAUUCAACA